AAAUUGAAGAGUUUGAUCAUGGCUCAGAUUGAACGCUGGCGGCAGGCCUAACACAUGCAAGUCGAACGGUAACAGGAAGCAGCUUGCUGCUUUGCUGACGAGUGGCGGACGGGUGAGUAAUGUCUGGGAAACUGCCUGAUGGAGGGGGAUAACUACUGGAAACGGUGGCUAAUACCGCAUAACGUCGCAAGACCAAAGAGGGGGACCUUCGGGCCUCUUGCCAUCAGAUGUGCUCUUGCCAUCAGAUGUGC
rnacentral:rRNA from 1 species